GGCGACACUGCUCUCACUCUGCCUCACGGUGAGCGAGAGGUCAGCCCUCAGCAAAGGGGACAAGGUCAAAGUGUUGAGUGUAGGUGAAGGGGGAUUCUGGGAAGGAACAGUGAAGGGCAGAACAGGCUGGUUUCCUGCUGAAUGUGUAGAAGAGGUACUGCCCCAAACCCAGGAGCAGCAUACAGAGAGCCGCAGUGAGAAGGCAAAGAGGAAG